AGUCUAAUUGAGCCUUCGACCCAUUUUACCUGUCCUAAUCUAGUUUUUGAGUCGUUGGCUCGAGUCUCGCUCCACCUGUAUUAAAUUUACAACUUUGACUUCGAGGCCCAAAUGAAUGAAUAAAAAUAAAUAACUAAAUAAAUAAAGACAACAAUAAUAAAUGACUAAAUGAAUGAAUGAAAUAAAAACCGAGACUUUCAAGUCUCUUGGCCGCUUCAAAUGUGGACUUUAACCCAUUUCUUCUUCUUUCGUCUCCUUGGUUUUGGUAUGCAACAAGAUCAGUAUUUGUUCUUCCACUAGAGAUUAACUCGAUGAGUAAAAUGCAAUCGAAAGUUCAUGGUGAACUCAGACGUAACACAUUCACAUGCAUCCAUAAAUAAAGGGAAAAGGAUUAAGAAUCUGCAACUAGACCGUUUGGACUUGGUAUAACUAAUCAUACAUCAUCGUAAGCUGCAAAUAGCAAUUAAAAAGACUAUAUUCAUGCUCAAGGUGGUCCUAUAGUUUGACAGAAGACAUGAGAAAAAUUCAACAUUCAUUGUCACAUCCAGGCCAACAUUUCUUAAAUAAAUCUAACACAAAUAAAGAUAUCUUUGAUGACUAAAAUAAGGAGGAAACAGGAUCUCUAAUAUAGCAUUUACCCAAACAUAAAUAAACACAAGUUGAUGUAAUUUAAGAAGUUUUGAUCCAAAGAAACCUGGACAAUAAUUCUUUCAUAGCCCUAGUAAAAGAACCUUAAAUCUGGACAUUGAUACAAGCGUAAAGAGAACAAGGAUUACAAGUGAUACGAGUGCAAAGAGGGUAUAAGCACAAGCAGCCAUACUCGAACCAUAUCCAAGAAGAGGGAAGAGUGUGAUGACCUUUGCAAAAAAGUGGAAAACGGGUAUCGAGAUCUCAAGACCAUUCCCUAGGAGCCAAGCUCGGGAACUACGUCUUCAAGGCACAUUCAUGAAGAUGGAUGUGUUUGAGCAUGUAUUAAUUCGUCCAAGGGAGUGUAUGUGUUAAAGUAUGAAGACAUGCCUUGAUUGUCAUAAAAACACUACAAGGCAGCCCCAUUUCUACACUCCAAACCCACCUCCUUCAUUAAGGGUAAAGGUGUCAUUUCCCAUCUCUUUUGUAAUAGACUAUAAGUAGAACCCCUUAGUCUUAUUUCCUUAGUUAGCUUAUUUUUGGAAUGAAGAUUGUAACAUUGAAACAUCCUUUUCCUCUCAAGAAGAGAGUAGACCACCAACUUUGAACAUCAUAAGUGAAAGGUUCCACUUGUGAAAUGGCUAGAAAUGUGAGUGCUUGAGUGAAGCAAGUUCCUCUUGUGUUUGCUAAGAACUUGGUGCUUGUUAAUGUGAUUUGUAGAGUUUUUAGAGCUUGAUACACUCUUUAGUUGCUACAUUUCAUAUUCUCUUUGUGUGAAGUUAUCUAUCUUCUUUAUCUUUCAAGUUUGUGUUUGUUGUUUCCACUUGGUGUCUUAUAUGUCUAGAUUGUUUUUGUGAGUUUGUGGACUAUUUUGUGCUCUUGUAUAUACUGUUUGGUAUCAGAAAUUAAUUCUUUCAUAAUACAGCUUAACAAAACAGUUUUAAUCCCCCCAAAAAAAAACCCAAACUAGCUAAAGGCAGUGAUAAGGACAAAACAACAGGAUAGCGAAAUUUUUUGCGGAUAGGAGCAACAAGCUUAAGACUAAUGAUAACACCAUGCCACAGAAAGUCUGGUUUUUUGGUCUAUAAUAGUCCUUAUAGAUGAAGGCGAUCACUAGUAUUCCGUAAAACAUGAUCUUGCAAAACUUUAAAAGUUUUAGACCGCGAAAUCAAUACCUAAGUAGGAAGUGAUACGAAUGAUGCUCAAAGAAAAAGAGGGUAUAAACUUCAUCGAUUUUUGACAUUAAACAUAUAACAAGAGACUAAAUCUGUUCCCAGAUUUGGCAUUCUUCAACAUACAAUUACACUUCAAAAGCUUCAACAGAAAGAGUACAAUCUAUAGGCUAAAAACAAAGCGGUGGGGGGCAUUGUAUUUCUAUCCUUCUCUCCUUCCUGACAAACUCAAUAAUGAGUUUUUGACUGUUACAUGGUCAUCGGAGAAUCAUGGGAUUUUUCUAAUUUUACUGUUGGAUGUUUUCUCAUCAUCCUUUUGGCAUUUGAGAAGCCAAAGGACCUUAAGAGGUAGUCCUAUCGAUGACGCUAUCAGCUAAAUAGUUACAACAGCAUCCCUACACUAACAAUAGACAAGAGACAUCAUAUAUCCACUCCAAACAAGACAAAACGUCAAGCAGAAGUGUUAAGCAAGAAUCAAGACAUGAUUUUUUACCAUGAAAAAAGGCAAAGACAGUGCACAUGAUGAAGAUCCAGAUCGCAAACUACUUGAUAAUGUCAAGAUUACAUGACGAGCUACAAAAUUGGGAUAAGAAUGAUAGAAACCACACAUCAUAAUAUUCAAAUAGGAAAUAGCCUAGCGUAAUAACACAACUGAAUGUUCUUCUUUGCUAAAGAAAAAAAACUAUAGCCUUUAAGGCCUCUACAAUGAGCACACAACAUCACUACUAUUAUGAUCAUACAACAACCUCUACAGCCAGCCAUCCAAACCGACCUUCACUUUCAUCAUUCAAUCAAGACUACACAGCCCCCACAACAAACUUCAUGUUCAUCAUUCAAACAAACAACACAGCUUCGAUAAUAGACCUCAUGUUCAUCAUUCAAACAAAUAACCAUCGCUACAGAGAAAAGAGAUGAAGAAGAAACAUGCCGAUAAAAUUAAACGAGGAAUGAAGAUAUUUACCUCUCUCGGGGCAGCAAAACGGGAGAACGAGCUAGUUGUUGGAAUCUGCCACCACUGGAAAUCCACGUUAUCAACUUAAGGGCCUCUGAUUAAUCGACCAACUUCAGAAAGAAGAACGAAAGAGAAAAUUUUUACUAAAAAUAAACUACUUUGCUUUUAGAAUUUUGUGCCUCUCCUCUUUUCUCCCAACUAAAAUUUUUCCCGACCCCAGAUUUCUUCUUUUCCCCCUCUUUCAAACCAAAAAAUCCCUGAAAGAAGAUAAAAGACCCCUCAAAGCAGUGACCCCAAGGGUCUUUAUAUAGAACCCAAAUUAGGGGUUUUGGGGGGAAUUGAAAGAGAGGAUAUCUUUGGAUUUGCAAUUCAAAUUUUUUCCCUCCUGCUUAGGGUUUCACCAACAAAUGUACUCCUUUCCCCUUAUCCUCCACAGAUUCUCCAAGAAAAGACAAUAGAAAUUGGGGGGAAAAUGGAUCCUUCCGCCAAGAACCAACAAAAAUUUUCCAAAUACAUAUGAAUUCGUACAAGUAAUCCACGAUUCGCGGAGGUAUCCGUUAGAGGGAGACACCUAAGCAUGUUUAUAGAGGGUUCUCGAAUUUUCCUCGUAUGAAUUCGUAUGGAAAGGCACGUGACGAAGAAGAAAUAGAUGGGUUGGAGCUUGGGUCGGUGAGUUCUGAUGCCGAGUUAUGGAUUGACAGGUGCGGGUCACGAAAGAGGGGAAUCGGGUUGAUGGAUUCGUAUGAUGUUGCUUCUGGUGUUUAAGGCUAAGAAUGGAGUGUUGGUUUUUUGAAGAAGAAAAGGGAUGGGCCCGGGUCGGAUUAUGUGGAUUAGGCUUCGGGAGGUUAUUGUGUUGGGCCAUUUAUGGUUGAUUAUUGUUG
rnacentral:lncRNA from 1 species